UGCAAGUCGAGCGGAUGAAGGGAGCUUGCUCCCUGAUUCAGCGGCGGACGGGUGAGUAAUGCCUAGGAAUCUGCCUGGUAGUGGGGGACAACGUCUCGAAAGGGACGCUAAUACCGCAUACGUCCUACGGGAGAAAGCAGGGGACCUUCGGGCCUUGCGCUAUCAGAUGAGCCUAGGUCGGAUUAGCUAGUUGGUGAGGUAAUGGCUCACCAAGGCGACGAUCCGUAACUGGUCUGAGAGGAUGAUCAGUCACACUGGAACUGAGACACGGUCCAGACUCCUACGGGAGGCAGCAGUGGGGAAUAUUGGACAAUGGGCGAAAGCCUGAUCCAGCCAUGCCGCGUGUGUGAAGAAGGUCUUCGGAUUGUAAAGCACUUUAAGUUGGGAGGAAGGGCAUUAACCUAAUACGUUGGUGUUUUGACGUUACCGACAGAAUAAGCACCGGCUAACUCUGUGCCAGCAGCCGCGGUAAUACAGAGGGUGCAAGCGUUAAUCGGAAUUACUGGGCGUAAAGCGCGCGUAGGUGGUUUGUUAAGUUGGAUGUGAAAUCCCCGGGCUCAACCUGGGAACUGCAUCCAAAACUGGCAGGCUAGAGUAGGGCAGAGGGUGGUGGAAUUU
rnacentral:rRNA from 1 species